AUUGAACGCUGGCGGCAUGCCUUACACAUGCAAGUCGAACGGCAGCGGGGACUUCGGUCCGCCGGCGAGUGGCGAACGGGUGAGUAAUGUAUCGGAACGUACCUUUCAGUGGGGGAUAACGUAGCGAAAGUUACGCUAAUACCGCAUAUUCUGUGAGCAGGAAAGCAGGGGAUCGCAAGACCUUGCGCUGAUUGAGCGGCCGAUAUCAGAUUAGCUAGUUGGUGAGGUAAAGGCUCACCAAGGCGACGAUCUGUAGCGGGUCUGAGAGGAUGAUCCGCCACACUGGAACUGAGACACGGUCCAGACUCCUACGGGAGGCAGAAGUGGGGAAUUUUGGACAAUGGGGGCAACCCUGAUCCAGCCAUGCCGCGUGAGUGAAGAGGGCCUUCGGGUUGUAAAGCUCUUUCGGCCGGGAAGAAAUCGCAUGGGUUAAUACCCUGUGCGGAUGACGGUACCGGCAUAAGAAGCACCGGCUAACUACGUGCCAGCCGCCGCGGUAACAC
rnacentral:rRNA from 1 species